CCUCUCAACGAUGAUGAAGUCAUCUCUUAUGUCCUUGGUGGGCUCGACUCUGACUAUAACCCCCUCGUCACCUCCAUGACAACCAGGACAGACCAAUUGGCCUAGAUGAAAUGUAUGCUCACCUUCUUGCCUUUGAGG